UCACAGGACACAAUACUGAUGAACCCAGA
rnacentral:piRNA from 2 species